rnacentral:tRNA from 1 species
GCCUGGCUGGCUUAGUUGGUAGAGCAUGUGACUCUUGAUAUCAGGGUCGUGAGUUCAAGCCUCACGUUGGUUG